UGUUAUCUCGGUGAUAACGGCAAUUGUGAUCCAGUAGCGAAGAUCGGUAAUGUAAGGUGCACGAAGGAAAGAUGGCUGAGCACAGGAAUGCGUGAGCCAACAGUUGAAAAUUUCGAUCAAAAUUGGUUUAAGAAGCGGCCGCUGGGAUCCCCGCCCGUCGUGUCAUAUUUCACGUUAUGCCGUAACCCGCGUCAGCUGAGCCCACGCACCGUGCCAUAUGCUCUGGCAGUGAUUGUCAACGUUAGACGCCGUGCCCAUGUCUUUAUGCCAUGUCUACCACUUCACUUAUUCCACUAUAACCGUGGCUUCCACCACGGUGUAAUGCUUGGAAAUUGUGCGUCGCGGGCGCUGCAGUUAUGGCCUCUUACGUCUACAUGCGUGGUUAUCGAACUCGCUUUUGUCCCGGAAUCCUCGCACGGCCAAUUGGAGUUCCUGGAAUACAGAUGGUACGUCCGGCGGUCAUUCCAUUCCUUCUAUCGCACGAGCUGUGUCACGCCUGACGCCGACGACUCCUUACCCGCUGCUGCCUAUAAGUUUGAAGUCAAUGCUACCGCGGACUUUUCUAUUGUGCGCUUGCUCCCACCAGUAUGUGAAGCCUGGACAACGACCGUAGCGUACCAGUUACCCGAGGGGCAAAGAAGCAGCUGUCAUCACUACUUGCUUCACCAGCUAACUUACAAGACAUCCGACGCCGAAGAAAAGUCAAUGGUCCCCUGGCUCACUGUCGAAUGUACGCACUCGUUCGCAUGAGUGAUGCAAGAUCAUGCUAUCCAGCCCCGCCCUGCAAGACUAACUCCGACUGAUGCACAGGGACCAGAAGGCCCUGGAAGCAUAUGUAACCCUUGAAAAGGGAGCCACCCCAUCAGGUCAGACUCACCUAUGCCACCCUCUUACACGGCGCUUGAGGCGGAACCCCAAACUCGAGGCCGAGCGCUGCUGGAGAAGGGGACGUGGACCAGCAGUGAAAUCGAAGAGGCGAAAGGUCUGAGGCCAUAUCUGAAACCCCUAUAGCUCCGGCCCAUGCAAAAGAAAACUGAGAUGUGCAACGACAAAAACAGAUCUGCCCAGGUACUGACCGACCCAGCAGCAGACAGCAACCCAGCAGCAGCAGCACCAGCCACGCCACCUGGAGAGGCACGGAAACUUGGGCAGGAGCGGCCUCAGCGAAAAGCGUCAUUACAUUCGGAGGGAAAAAACUUACAGACCAAUCUACUAAUCAAGCCACGUACUGCAUGGCGCUGUACCUCAUGAGUUCCAGUGAUGUGCAUGGCCUUACGCCGCGUUCAUGGCAGAGUGACCACUUAUAAAGCUCGACAGGAAGGAAAGAAAGGUGCCGGACUGCUUAUGCGCAUCCGCGGUCUCAAGGCGGAGUCGUCGGUGACUUUGGAUGCCCCGGUUGGAGGAAGGUGUGACCGCAGAUUUCCCUGACCUAGCGAUCUAGGGAAGACCGAAGGAAUUUAAGCGGACUGCUGAACUGUGUGCUAGUGCGCUCUGAUGUGUGCUCGCCAGAAAGAUGUAGUCUACUGACCUGUAGCUCACGCUACGAGGACGAUUACUGCGCUCCGUGCUCAGGCCAGUGCCACACCCUUUGUUCUAUGUACGUAAGUUUGCAGUUUCAAUGAAAAUAA